CUUGUACUCCCUCCGUCCGGAAAUUCUUGUCAUCAAAAUGGAUAAAAGGGGAUGCAUCUAGAAAUAUUUUAAUUCUAGAUACAUCUAUCCAUUUUGAUGACAAGUAUUUUCAGACGGAGGGAGUAGAUC
rfam:Triticum aestivum genome assembly, contig: Triticum_aestivum_CS42_TGACv1_scaffold_579174_7BL